CGACGCGCGGAGGCGGUGACGAAGCGUCUCCAGCUGAGCGGGCGUCGGCCGCGCGGGAGUAACUGUCAACAGCUGGUUCGGGCGGAGUCUUAUCGCGGCCGAAAGCGCCUCUGGACAUCCUGGGGCGGGCUCCGGAGGCGAACCCACUCGCCCGCCCCGCGCCUGUUGAGGCGAGGCCUUUGGGACCGGUCGUGCAGGGCCCUGCCUAAACUAAGGAGACUGUCCCGUAGAGCUCCCGGAAUCCAAGGAACUCGCACCUCAACCCCGUGAUGAGAGGAAGAGUAAAGUGUCAGUGACCAAAAGACGUCUUGAACUGCCUGCCGUGAGCAAAGCAUGUUCCAAGUAGUGUCUCAGAAAGAGAAAAUACUGGAGCAGACCUGAAAUUGACCUUCACCCUGGAGCAAUACUGCAGCUAACUUGCAGCUAUAAAUGUGAAAGAAGAGUAAAACAUAAAUAUUUCUUGUUCUAAAUUACAGAGAUUUUUGAAAUUGUUAUAUAACAUAACCUCACAGAGCACCUAAAGUGAAUUUUAACCAACAGGAGAUCCGAGCUAUGAGAAGUCAGCUCAAGAAGAUUGAAGACCUGGGGGCGGCCAUGGAGGAAGCGCUGAUCCUGGACAACAAGUACACGGAGCACAGCACCGUGGGCCUGGCCCAGCAGUGGGACCAGCUCGACCAGUUGGGCAUGCGCAUGCAGUACAACCUGGAGCAGCAGCUCCAGGCCAGGAACACGACAGGAGUGACUGAGGAGGCCCUCAAAGAAUUCAGCAUGAUGUUCAAACACUUAGACAAGGACAAGUCCGGCCGGCUGAACCACCAGGAGUUCAAAUCUGUCUGCGCUCCCUGGGCUAUGACCUGCCCAUGGUGGAGGAAGGGGAGCCCAACCCUGAGUUUGAGGCCAUCCUGGACACUGUGGAUCCUAACAGGGACGGCCACGUCUCCCUGCAAGAGUACAUGGCCUUUAUGAUCAGCCGUGAGACCGAGAACGUCAAGUCCAGCGAGGAGAUUGAGAGCGCCUUCCGGGCCCUGAGCUCCGAAGGGAAGCCUUAUGUGACCAAGGAGGAGCUGUACCAGAACCUGACUCGGGAACAAGCCGACUACUGCAUCUCCCACAUGAAGCCCUAGGUGGACGGCAAGGGCCGCGAACUCCCCACUGCUUUUGACUACGUCGAGUUCACCCGCUCGCUCUUCGUGAACUGAUCCUCUGCUCCUAGGUUAGCCUGGCCCACGCUGCUUGCCCUACCGUCGCCUUGCUGCAUGUCAACUCCUCUCUGUGCUCUUAAGAAAAAUACUCCAGACAGUGUUGCUCUCCAGUGUAACCUUAACUUGCUUAGCUUGGUUUAAGAUUUAGUAGAAAACGGUGCUUCAGUAACCGGCUUUAGGUCCAGUUGCCAUUGCCAUGUUACUGUGGGGACCCAAUUCCUGUCUCAAGGCCGGCUGCCCCAUUCCGACUACAGAAAAAUCUGAGCAGCCAGCUAGUUCCCCUCUUGUUCGCCCUCCCUCAAUUUUGUUUUCAUGUAAAAGACAAAUAAAUGACUUGACUCCCC